rnacentral:lncRNA from 1 species
GCCGUUCUGAAUGUCUGAAAAAACAAACUAAGAUCCUGUGUGUGUGUGUGUGUGUAGAUCCUGUGUGUGUGUGUGUGUAGAUCCUGUGUGUGUGUGUGUAGAUCCUGUGUGUGUGUGUAGUUCCUGUGUGUGUGUGUAGAUCCUGUGUGUGUGUGUGUGCAGAUCCUGUGUGUGUGUGUGUAGAUCCUGUGUGUGUGUGUGUAGAUCCUGUGUGUGUGUGUGUAGAUCCUGUGUGUGUAGUUCCUGUGUGUGUAGUUCCUGUGUGUGUGUGUAGAUCCUGUGUGUGUGUGUGUAGUUCCUGUGUGUGUGUGUGUAGAUCCUGUGUGUGUGUGUGUGUAGAUCCUGUGUGUGUAGAUCCUGUGUGUGUGUGUAGAUCCUGUGUGUCUGUGUAGAUCCUGUGUGUGUGUGUGUGUCUAUGUAGAUCCUGUGUGUGUGUGUAGAUCCUGUGUGUGUGUGUAGAUCCUGUGUGUGUGUGUAGUUCCUGUGUGUGUGUGUGUAGAUCCUGUGUGUGUGUAUGUAGAUCCUGUGUUUGUAGAUCCUGUGUGUGUGUGUAGAUCCUGUGUGUGUGUGUGUGUGUGUGUGUGUGUGUGUGUGUGUGUGUGUGUGUGUGUGUGUGUGUGUGUGUAGAGCCUGUGUGUGUGUAGAUCCUGUGUGUGUGUGUGUAUCCUAUGUGUGUGUGUGUAGAUCCUGUGUGUGUGUAGAUCCGUGUGUGUGUGUGUGUGUGUGUAGAUCCUAUGUGUGUGUGUGUAGAUCCUGUGUGUGUGUGUAGAUCCUAUGUGUGUGUGUGUAGAUCCUGUGUGUGUGUGUGUGUAGAUCCUGUGUGUGUAUUUUAUUAUUCAAUAUUAAACAUGUAAUAAAGCACAACAGUAUUCCUUGUAAUAAUAUGAACUUGUGAUAUUGGCUAUUAAAAUGUAAUCUGCAAAAACACAUUUUGAAAAGGCAAUGGAACUCUAAAUUAAUCUCCUGUCUUUCUACAGUUUAUCGUCCACCUGCCAGAGGACCGAGGGCCUAGUCGAGACCUUGGAAUUGAAUGGUCCUAUCUGCAUUGUUGUGAAAACUGAGUUAUUGAAAUAUUUUUGUUCUGUACAAUGUCUACCUAUAUAGUACUGUAAAUAUGUUGGUAAAGACUUCACGUUAAAAUUGACCGUUCAAACCAAUGAGGUUUCGGGAACGUUAAAGCCAAUUAUCUCAGAAUCAUCUUUUUUUUGCAGAUAGACCCUUAUCAUUUUAUAGUCACGUAUUGUAUGGCAAUCUACUUCCUCAAUAGUAAAGUCCCAAACAAAU